GCCACUGGGAUAGCUCAGUCAAUAGAGCACGCUACUCUUAAUUUCAAGGUUGUGGGUUUGAGCCCCACAAUGGGCA